AGUGAACGCUGGCGGUAGGCCUAACACAUGCAAGUCGAACGGCAGCACAGAGGAGCUUGCUCCUUGGGUGGCGAGUGGCGGACGGGUGAGGAAUACAUCGGAAUCUACUCUGUCGUGGGGGAUAACGUAGGGAAACUUACGCUAAUACCGCAUACGACCUACGGGUGAAAGCAGGGGAUCUUCGGACCUUGCGCGAUUGAAUGAGCCGAUGUCGGAUUAGCUAGUUGGCGGGGUAAGGGCCCACCAAGGCGACGAUCCGUAGCUGGUCUGAGAGGAUGAUCAGCCACACUGGAACUGAGACACGGUCCAGACUCCUACGGGAGGCAGCAGUGGGGAAUAUUGGACAAUGGGCGCAAGCCUGAUCCAGCCAUACCGCGUGGGUGAAGAAGGCCUUCGGGUUGUAAAGCCCCUUUGUUGGGAAAGAAAUCCAUCUGGUUAAUACCCGGGUGGGAUGACGGUACCCAAAGAAUAAGCACCGGCUAACUUCGUGCCAGCCGCCGCCGUAAUAC
rnacentral:rRNA from 1 species